rnacentral:rRNA from 2 species
GAGAUGCUUCCUGGGAUUCAGCCUUGCUUUUGCUUGGUGUUUUUCCCAGAUAGCAGGCCAACGUCGGUUUUGGGCACUGGAGAAGGGUAGGAGGAACGUGGCACCCCUCGGGGUGUGUUAUAGCCUCCUACUGGAUACAGCGACCGAGACCGAGGACAGCAGCGUACUCGCAAGAGCGGGCCUUCGGGCACCUUUACGCUUAGGGCGUUGGCAUAAUGGCCCUCUACCACCCGUCUUGAAACACGGACCAAGGAGUCUAACAUGUAUGCGAGUCUUUGGGUGGCAAACCCAUAGGCGCAAUGAAAGUGAAUUCAGGUGGGAUCCGCAAGGUGCACCAUCGACCGAUCCUCACGUCUUUUAAGUCGUGGAUUUGAGUAAGAGCAUACCUGUUGGGACCCGAAAGAUGGUGAACUAUGCCUGAAUAGGGUGAAGCCAGAGGAAACUCUGGUGGAGGCUCGUAGCGGUUCUGACGUGCAAAUCGAUCGUCAAAUUUGGGUAUAGGGGCGAAAGACUAAUCGAACCAUUAUAGGAAUGCUAGGUGGUUA